GACAGAGGGUGCAACCGUUGCUCGGAUUUACUGGGCGUAAAGGGCGCGUAGGCGGUCAGCACAAGUCAGUUGUGAAAUCUCCGGGCUUAACUCGGAAAGGUCAACUGAUACUGUGCGACUAGAGUGCGGAAGGGGCAACUGGAAUUCUCGGUGUAGCGGUGAAAUGCGUAGAUAUCGAGAGGAACACCUGCGGCGAAGGCGGGUUGCUGGGCCGACACUGACGCUGAUGCGCGAAAGCCAGGGGAGCGAACGGG
rnacentral:rRNA from 1 species